GUGAAUCAUCGAAUUUUUGAACGCAAAUUGCACUCUCUUCGGAGAGUAUGCCUGUUUGAGGGUCAGCCUAAAAAAAUCGACAUAGGUGCUGUUACGCGGUAAGGUUCGGCGGGAAUUUGGGAAUCUUAAACCUUUGGGUUUAAGCGGCUUAAAAUUUUCUUUUCGAUUCCAAGUACGUGUCUCAGAUUUUAUUUUCUUAUACGUUUAAUGUAUCUAUCUUUUUUUAUCGUU
rnacentral:misc_RNA from 1 species